rnacentral:misc_RNA from 1 species
ACUCGUCUUCAUGUAAGAUCAUUUAGAAACAAUGGAAUAAAGAGAACUAAUCAAAUAGAGAGAACAUCAUUUACCUGAUGAAAAAGAUAACCCAACACAUGCUCAUCACAUAUAGCAUUAUAAACAUAACCUGAACAACUCACAUCUCGGAGAACCCAUACUUCAAAAUUAAAAUAGAAAAACCAAAGACAAAAGUCCCAGUAUGAGAGAGAGUACCCAUGGCACCAGAAAAAUUAAAAUUAAGUUGAAAGUGACUGCUCAACGAUAAUACAUGAGCUGUUGACCUGAAGAACUGUUGGGAUAUCCAUCAUACAGGGCAUGGGACCCACCAGAGUUCAAACCCAUGGAAGCGGCAGCAAGACCAUGUUGUCCAGUCAGCUGUACCAGCGCUUGACCUGAUAAGCCAGAUGCAGCAGCCUGGCUCAGCGCAAGUUGGCGCUGGUAGACCAACAAAUCAGUCGCAGAGUAACCUUGGUUAAUGCCAGAUGGAAGCAUCUGAUAAUGUUGAGUUGGAGGUGGUAAUGGAUUUGAAGCUGUCCCAGGGGGCGUUGGCUUGCUACCCCAUGAACACUUCAUGGGCUUCCCGCGAAUUAUUUUCCCAUUUGCCAUCUGAAUGGCAGAGGCUGCUUCUUCAUGAGCAUUAUAUCUUAUAAAUCCAAAACCUUUAUCUCUCUGUACUCGCACCUCUUCAAUUACCCCAGUCCCAAGGGCAUGAAAUUGACAAUGAAGCUCAGCUUGAGUUACCUCAUGGGAAAGAUUACCAACAUAGACAGUAGUGUAUGCAGGAUUGUUUUCAGGAGCAUCCUCAUUAGUAUUUUCUUGACCUCCUUCUGAAGAUCCACUGGUAAGUACAACUGCAUUUUGGUUAUCACCAAUUUGCUUGUCUUCACUGGACCCAGAGCCUUUAGUUGCCCAGUUGCAUCUUAUUUGCCUAUUCCCUAGCCAUUUACCAGUCAAGUCAUUGAUAGCACUCUGUGCAUCCUGUUGAUUACGGAAGGAAACAAAGCCAUAUCCUUUUGUGCGGCCACUUUUAUGAUCCCACAUCACCCUUGCAUCAGAGCAACUAUCAUAGACCGAGAAGCAUGCAAAUAAAGUUGCAUCAGUAACCUCUGGACUCAAAUCACCAACAAAUAUAUGGAAGUGGCCUGAUGUAUCCUCCCUUUGGCUAUUUGCAUAUGCCCAAUUCACCUUAAGUGCCUGACCGUACAGUUGCCGUCCAUGGAGUGUCAUUAUUGCGAGCGCUGCAGAUGAUCGAUCAUGGUAGUCCAAAAAACCAUAUGAUGACUUAUCCUUUCUGAUGAGCUUGCAUCCUGCAAGAGGACCAGCAGUCUGGAAAACUUCAGCAAGAAGUUUCUCAGUGACAUUUACAUGAAUAUUUCCUACAUAACUAAAAGUCAUCAAGCUAUCAGAUUAAUAAGCAUCAAAGCAUGUAAAACAAAGAAAUGCAUAAUAUCUAUAAUAUGCUAACGUAUACAACAUCACUGCAGCAUUUCACUGCCACAGCUUUGAUGCAUCCAGAAAAGAACCUUUGAAACUCUUUGAUGACGGAAAGCUGUAGAAGUCUACCAUUCAAGACGCAUAAAUAAAUAUGAAAAACACAAAAAGCAACCAAAAGGUUGGGGAAAAGAUAAGUUAUGCUUACACACUGCGGCAAGUAGACGAAUCAAAACCAGGAGGAAGAUUUCCACUAGGGAUCGGCUCCACCUGAGACAUGGCAGCAGCAAGUACGCCUGGGUGGUACAUGUGAUGCUGUUGAAGCAAAGCUUGCUGCAUAAGGGCUUGCUGUUAUCGUUGUUGGUUCGAUAACAAGUGCAAAUCAAUGCUAUUUUAAUCCUUUUCUUCUCCUCCUCUGUUUUCCUCUUGAUCGAUACAAUUCGACGACUGGAACUCUCUUCGUCUCUCUGCCAGUCCCGGCCCGGAAGUAGAAACUCCGCUACCGCUGUCUCGAC